ACUAAACUAAAAUAUUUUAUCAAUAACUUAGUCAGAGUUGAUCAAUCCUGCUGAAAUAUAAGCUGUCAGACACUUCCAAAUACCAGUAAAUUAAAAUGAGAAAUUUACUUUAAUUUUAGACAAAAUGAUAUGCCCUGGAUUUCAAUGUAAAAGAAAACGAAUACCCUCAUGACACCACUUGCAGCAACAUUUCAGAGAAAUGAUUAAAGUGUCGUAAACAAAUCAAAGACAUGUUUAUCUAUAACACGAUCAAGUCAUCAUAGCAUCAGCACUGAUCUUUACUGUCCAUGAAGUCACAGGGGACAGAUAGUUGCCAGAGCUGAUCGCCUAUAGCUAGUUUUCCAUGAGCAUAUAUGAUUGGCAGUGAUUAAUAACAAUUACAAUGUGAGCUGGGGCCAGAAAGACAUCAAGUCUUUAUCUUUAAAGUAGAGAAUGAUGCAGGAAUUAGGAAGAUGACACCCAAGAAACUUGUUUAGGCUGUUUUACUUUGACUGAUGAAAAAAUGCUAUGAACCUUUGGAGACCAAAGAAUUGGAAUCGUCUCUAUUAUGAGGGAAAGAUGUAACCGAGAAAGAAACAUGGUUGACCUUCAUCACAACUUUGGUUUAAUUUCGUGGUAGAAAGGAAAAAUACUGUGGGUAUUAACCUGUUAACCAAGACAUUGUAAUAUGUGAUCACACUGCCAUUCAGUGAAAAAGCCCUUUGAGUUGAUACAUGAACACUGCACAUUGUACAUGCUUGUUCCGAAGUGGAAAAAUUUGUUUGUUCCUGUACCUAGUUUAUAGUAUACUUUAAGAAAGCCUUAAUUCAAAAAGUACUUUAUAAAAUGACAAAAUGAUUUUUCAUAUAUAUUCUGUAGAGUGUGUACAGAUAAAAAAUGUUUCUAAUAUGAAUAUUUACUGCAUUUCAUAUAAAAGAGAGAAAUUUUCCCAAAUUCUUCAUGAACGAUAAAAACUAAUAUGAUAUCACAAAACACAUGAUAAUGUUAGAGAGGAACGUUCCUUUAAAGAUAUUCUUAAGUGGGCUUUGCAAUGUAUCAACAGAUAUUCAUUACAAGACAGAGGAACGUUCCUCAAAUGCACUGGUUGCAAGCUUCAUUUGGUAUAAGUAAUCAACAGAAAUACAACCAUUUGUGAGAGGAACGUUCCUCAAAUGCAUGAUUUAAUAUGAAUAAGGUAUCAACAUAUACAAAUCUAAGAGAGGAACGUUUCUCAUACGUGUAAGUAUCCUGUGUG